rnacentral:rRNA from 1 species
CCCUUAGAUGUCCUGGGCCGCACGCGCGCUACACUGAACGGAUCAGCGCGUUUUCCCUUCCCGAGAGGGACGGGUAACCUGCUGAACCCCGUUCGUGGUAGGGAUCGGGGCUUGCAAUUAUUCCCCGUGAACCAGGAAUGCCCAGUAAGUGCAAGUCAUAAGCUUGCGUUGAUUACGUCCCCGCCCUUUGUACACACCGCCCGUCGCUACUACCGAUUGAACGUUUUAGUGAGGUACUCGGACUGAGCCUCAGAAGAUUCACGUCUUUUGUGCUGCUCGGGAAGAUUCCCAAACUUGAGCGUUUAGAGGAAGUAAAAGUCGUAACA